rnacentral:rRNA from 1 species
UACCUGCAGCUCGAGUGGUAACCGCUAUUAUUGGGCCUAAAGCGUCCGUAGCCGGUUUGGUAAAAUAUCUGGGUAAAUCGUGAGGCUUAACUUCACGAAUUUCGGAUAGACUGCCAGACUUGGGAUCGGGGGAGGUCAGAGGUACUCCAGGGGUAGCGGUGAAAUGUUGUAAUCCUUGGAGGACCACCGGUAGCGAAGGCGUCUGACUAGAACGAGUCCGACGGUGAGGGACGAAGCCCUGGGGCGCAAACCGGAUUAGAUACCCGGGUAGUCCAGGGUGUAAACGAUGUGGGCUUUGUAUUGGAGGUCCCACGUGGGCGUCCAGUGCAGAAGAGAAGUUGUUAAGCCCACCGCCUGGGAAGUACGGUCGCAAGGCUGAAACUUAAAGGAAUUGGCGGGGAGCACAGCAACGGGAGGAGCGUGCGGUUU